rnacentral:rRNA from 1 species
CACUCCUGCGGGAGGCAGCAGUGGGGAAUUUUGGACAAUGGGCGAAAGCCUGAUCCAGCAAUGCCGCGUGAGUGAAGAAGGCCUUCGGGUUGUAAAGCUCUUUUGUCAGGGAAGAAACGGUGAAAGCUAAUAUCUUUUGCUAAUGACGGUACCUGAAGAAUAAGCACCGGCUAACUACGUGCCAGCAGCCGCGGUAAUACGUAGGGUGCAAGCGUUAAUCGGAAUUACUGGGCGUAAAGCGUGCGCAGGCGGUUUUGUAAGUCUGAUGUGAAAUCCCCGGGCUCAACCUGGGAAUUGCAUUGGAGACUGCAAGGCUAGAAUCUGGCAGAGGGGGGUAGAAUUCCACGUGUAGCAGUGAAAUGCGUAGAUAUGUGGAGGAACACCGAUGGCGAAGGCAGCCCCCUGGGUCAAGAUUGACGCUCAUGCACGAAAGCGUGGGGAGCAAACAGGAUUAGAAACCCCAGUAGUCCCAUGAU